ACAGCAGUCGCCACGGGAAUACGUAGGGUGCAAGCGUUAAUCGGAAUUACUGGGCGUAAAGCGUGCGCAGGCGGUUCGUUAAGACAGAUGUGAAAUCCCCGGGCUUAACCUGGGAACUGCAUUUGUGACUGGCGGGCUAGAGUAUGGCAGAGGGGGGUAGAAUUCCACGUGUAGCAGUGAAAUGCGUAGAGAUGUGGAGGAAUACCGAUGGCGAAGGCAGCCCCCUGGGCCAAUACUGACGCUCAUGCACGAAAGCGUGGGGAGCAAACAGGAUUAGAUACCCCCGUAGUCCCUGUCUCUUAUAC
rnacentral:rRNA from 1 species